UGACGGAGGACUUGUGAUCCGAGAAGAGGUGGAGCUGCGACCAGUCGUCGGGGCGGGAGCCUUCUUUCCAGAUGAUGACGCGGCCGUCGUAGCCACAGGUGGCGAGGAGGGAGCCGAACUUGGGGUGGGCCCAGGCGGCCUGCCAAACGGGGCCGUGGUGGCCGGCGAGGGUGGCGAGGGGCUGGUGGGAGGAGGCGGAGACGCCGAUGAUCUUGACGGUGGAGUCGGAAGAGGCGGUGGCGAGGCGCUUGCCGUAGUAGUCCAUGGCGACGUCGUGGACGAC
rnacentral:misc_RNA from 1 species